AUUACAUCUGUCCGAAUUGUAAUUUCAAGAGGCAUCUUUGGGUGUGGCUCAGGUAAAAGUCUGUUGGAAUACAGUAUCAUAGAGGGUGAGAAUCCCGUCCAUGACCUGGGACCCAUUCCUAUGUAAAGUGUCUUCAAAGAGUCGAGUUGUUUGGGAAUGCAGCUCUAAAUGGGUGGUAAAUUCCAUCUAAGGCUAAAUACUGGUGGGAGACCGAUAGCGAACAAGUAGUGUGAACGAAAGAUGAAAAGAACUUUGAAAAGAGAGUUAAAUAGUACGUGAAAUUGUUGAAAGGGAAGCGCUUGGGACCAGAGUGCUGCUUUUCAGGAUCAGCAAAGCUUCAAGUUUUGUGCACUCCUGAAUUUGCAGGGCCAGCAUCAGUUUGGAUGGUUGUAUAAAGUCAGGAGAAAGGUAGCUUUGUCUUUUUUAGAUAGAGUGUUAUAGACUCUUGUGCAAUGCAACCAAUUUGGACUGAGGACUGCAGCAAUUUAUUUGCUUAAGGAUGCUGGCGUAAUGGUCUCAAUCGACCCGUCUUGAAACACGGACCAAGGAGUCUAACAUCUAUGCAAGUGUUUGGGUGUCAAACCCAUGUGCGAAAUGAAAGUGAAUGCAGAUGGGAUCCCCCACAAGGGGUGCACCAUCGACCGAUCCUGAUGUUCUCGGAUGGAUUUGAGUAAGAGCAUAGCUGUUGGGACCCGAAAGAUGGUGAACUAUGCCUGAAUAGGGUGAAGCCAGAGGAAACUCUGGUGGAGGCUCGUAGCGGUUCUGACGUGCAAAUCGAUCGUCAAAUUUGGGUAUAGG
rnacentral:rRNA from 1 species